UGCCUACGGGGCGCAGCAGUGAGGAAUAUUGGUCAAUGGGCGAGAGCCUGAACCAGCCAAGUCGCGUGAGGGAGUACUGCCCUAUGGGUUGUAAACCUCUUUUGUCGGGGAGCAAAAGCCGGACGUGUCCGGCUGUGAGAGUACCCGAAGAAAAAGCAUCGGCUAACUCUGUGCCAGCAGCCGCGGUAAUACGGAGGAUGCGAGCGUUAUCCGGAUUUAUUGGGUUUAAAGGGUGCGCAGGCGGAUUUUUAAGUCAGCGGUCAAAAUGCGGAGCUCAACUCCGUCGAGCCGUUGAAACUGCCGUU
rnacentral:rRNA from 1 species